UGCGUAGACGGUUAUGUAAGUCGGGUGUGAAAGCCCCGGGCUCAACCUGGGAAUGCCAUUCGAGACUGCAUAGCUAGGGUGCGGAAGAGGGAAGCGGAAUUUCCGGUGUAGCGGUGAAAUGCGUAGAUAUCGGAAGGAACACCAGUGGCGAAAGCGGCUUCCUGGUCCAGCACCGACGUUCAGGCACGAAAGCGUGGGGAGCAAACAGGAUUAGAUACCCUGGUAGUCCACGCCAUAAACGAUGAGGACUAGACGUUGAGAGGGUAAGCCUCGCAGUGUCGUAGCUAACGCGCUAAGUUCUCCGCCUGGGGAGUACGGCCGCAAGGUUGAA
rnacentral:rRNA from 1 species